AGCGAACGCUGGCGGCAGGCUUAACACAUGCAAGUCGAACGGGCAUAGCAAUAUGUCAGUGGCAGACGGGUGAGUAACGCGUGGGAACGUACCUUUUGGUUCGGAACAACACAGGGAAACUUGUGCUAAUACCGGAUAAGCCCUUACGGGGAAAGAUUUAUCGCCGCAAGAUCGGCCCGCGUCUGAUUAGCUAGUUGGUAGGGUAAUGGCCUACCAAGGCGACGAUCAGUAGCUGGUCUGAGAGGAUGAUCAGCCACAUUGGGACUGAGACACGGCCCAAACUCCUACGGGAGGCAGCAGUGGGGAAUAUUGGACAAUGGGCGAAAGCCUGAUCCAGCCAUGCCGCGUGAGUGAUGAAGGCCCUAGGGUUGUAAAGCUCUUUUGUGCGGGAAGAUAAUGACGGUACCGCAAGAAUAAGCCCCGGCUAACUUCGUG
rnacentral:rRNA from 1 species